CACAGGCGUCUAAAGCUAGCGAAAUGAGGGAUGCUCAACUACCGGACCUACCGAUAGAUGGCUCUACCAGCUGAUUACUAUCGUCUGUAUUGCCCGCCAUAUUUGAAUUUGCCAAGAAGUUUCUCUCGGUCUGUACGGUGUAUAAGGAAUUAAGGAUUAUCGAAAUGGUGAUUUCUUGUUCCGCUUUCAAUUGUGCGAAGCGAUGGAGUAAGGAAAGUGACUUACCAUUUCACAGGUGAUAAGACUGCCGAUACAAUACGACAACAAUACAGACUUAGUGCGUUUGCUAAUUCGAUGUUUUUGAACAGGUUUCCUCUAAAGCACCCAGAGCUGCUAAAGAAGUGGAUUACUUCCGUGAAGCGGAAAGAUUUUAAACCUAAGUCUUGCAGUUUUCUUUGCGGAAACCUUUUCCCACAAGAUGAUUACGUAGUGAGCCCUGGAACGUGGAAGAAACGUCUCAGAUCCGAAGCAGUGCCAUCAAUUUUUGACUUUCCGACACAUUUGAUGCCACCAAAUAAGCAGCCACGACGACAUUUUAGGAUUUUGAGUGACUACGAUGCUUCUCCAUUUGAGCGUUCUGUCCUGGAAUCCGUGCUUGAUUUGCCCUCUGCAGAAGCUACUGAUUACAUGGAGAAUGUUGUCAAUGAGAAUUCUUCCGUGGAAAGCAUGUCCCAUUUAUCCAAUGCAGAAGCUACGAAUUGUGUCGAAAUCAGUGCAGUUGGUUCUCAAGUAAUUGAUUGUGGUAUACAGCCGAAAGUAGAAAUGGAAGACAAGCGACCGAAACUUGCAAUUUUUUCUCAGACAUUGUGCACGAAUUAAAACGUAAACUGAAGUGUGUCCGUGAAAAACUUCGAAGAAGAGAGAAGAAAGUGUUUUCCAUGGAUGACAUCAUAAGUUCAUUGAAGGAGAAGGGGCAUCUUCCUGAAUAGUUACGUAACUUCCUCAAUCAUCAGAAAGGAACACAAGUGGAAUUAGUGUGCAAUUUAGUGGACAACUAUCUCUCGUCAAAGGGUAAUAGAUACACAACAAAUGUGAAAAUGUUUGCGAUGACUGUGUACUUUUAUUCACCAGCAGCAUAUGAAUACCUGCAAAAAUUAAUGCCUCUGACCCAUAAAUCAUUGAUUCCCAAAAGGGGGGCAAGUGUCGACUGUGAAACUGGCUUCUUAAAAGAUGUUUUUAAGUAGGCCUACAUUGAUUUGAACCCAAUUGUAAGGGACCAGUUCAGCAAUUCAUGUCUAAUUGUAGACAGUGUGGCACUUAGGAAGCAAGUAGUUUGGGACCAAGGAACUAAGCAAUACACAGGUUUUUUUAGAGUUUGGUGGGGAAGUGCCUCAGUCAAAAGAAGUAAUAGAGGCAUCUGAGGCUCUGGUUUUCAUGCUUGUCUCUAUUAAAGGCAAAUUUAUAUGCCCGAUUGCAUAUUUCUUUAUCAACGGUGUACAGGCAAAUAAUCAGGCCACACUGAUAAAAUCCGCUUUAGAGAGGCUGCAUAGUUCUGGCAUUAGGGUUUGGUGUGUUACAUGUGAUGGCUGCAAGGUAAAUAUAAGCACUUUACGUACACUUGGCUGUACUUUAAAUUUUUCCAAGGGUGAUUUUAAGAGCUACAAUGUUUAUUGUAUCUUGGGCAUGUCAUAUGAUUAAGUUUGCCAGAAAUGCUCUAGCAGAAGUAUCUGCUAUUGAGUCUCCAACUGGCAUUAUUAGAUGGCCUUUCGUUGAGCAAUUGAACAAGGUACAACAAGAAGAAGGUAUGACAUUUGCCAACAAACUAUCAGGACAACAUAUAAGUUAUGUAAAUAGAAAAAUGAAUGUUCCAUUAGCUCCACAGACUGAGUUCUAGUGUGACAGAUAGUAUAGAGUGUUUGAGGAGGGUUGGUGAUCCAAAUAUUAAAGGAAGUGAAGCAACAGUAGAAUUUUUGUAUAAUAUUGAUAGGAUUAUUGAUAUUCUGAACUCAAGAAAUCCAUUAGGUAAAGGGUAUAAGAGCCCCCUGAGACUUGACAACAAAUCUUAUUGGCUUGGUAGUUAAAAAAAAAAAAAAUUAAAUUAAAAAAAAAAUGGUUCAAAUGGCUCUGAGCACUAUGGAACUUAACAAUUAUGGUCAACAGUCCCCUAGAACUUAGAACUACUUAAACUUAACUAACCUAAGGACAUCACACAACACCCAGUCAACACGUUGGUAUUUUCAGACACACUGAAAAUUAUAUCAAAAGCUUAAAAAUCAUUGGUGUUCCAUUGCUGCUCCAUGCAAGAAAUAUUUUUGCUUUUGGGAUAAUUUUCAAUGUGCAAUCAGUAAGGCACAUAGCUCUGACAAGUAUGCUUCGUGUUGAAUCUCCUUUGAAGUAUUUGCUAACAUAUAAACUGUCACAAGACCACAUAGAGCUUUUUUUCCCCUGCAUUCGGUCCAGAUGUGGUUGGAACAACAAUCCAAAAGCAUACCAGCUCAAAUGUGGCAUGAGAAAGUUGCUCUUGGGUAACAGUGUCACUGCAAUGAAUGGGAAUUGCUCAAAUUUUAAUGUGUGUUGUUUGCCACCUGUUUAUGAUUUUCAUGCAAGAAAGCAUGUAGUAGAAAGUGAUGAAAGUGCUGCUGAAAAUGAAGUAGAGGAGUGGUGUGCACUUCUUGAUGAUAAGAUUAAGUUCUCAUUUCACAAGUAAAACAUACUCAAUUAUAUUGCAGGGUAUGUGUCAUUGCGCCUUUCAAGGCAGAUCACAUGCAAAGACUGUCUUCACAUACUGAAGCCACCAGUAGUUAAAUCUGCAUUAGAAUGUGAUUCUCUCUAUGCUUUUCCCAAUAUGGCCAAUAAAAAUGCAUUUGUAAAUUUUGUUAAACGGGGAAAACUGGUUAAAACAAGUGACUGCAUGUACUCUGUUGUAGAAUACUCAGAAACUCUUUCAGAUGAUUGUGACUGCUGGGGAUAUGUGACAAACAUAUACAGGCCAAGAUUUUGCAUUGUGUUAAAAAUAAAUUUGUAGAUUACCCAUUUCCUGCUCUUCAUGAUUACCGUUAUGAAAUUAGGAUUGAGGACUUACAUCAGACUCAACUUGUUUGUAAGAUUGCAUCCCUAUACUCCUGCAUACGCUUAAAAACAUGUGAAAAAAAGCCUGCUGAGAAAAUUUUAAACAACAAAUCAAGUAUAAGGCAGAAGUUAAAUAAACUCAUAUUGUUUAAUCAUGUAUAGUGCUCAAAUUGGAAAAAUUAUGUAAUGGGACAUUCCAUGCAGAUGGGUGCGACAUUUUGACAGAUUUUUUAAAACUAUUUUGUCCAUAGAUUUGUUGUUGUGUAAUGAUGAACUUCAAAAGAUGAAUCACAUUGAAGUAAAAUUAAGUCUUUACAUCCUGUGUAGAUAUUGUAACAAAAUUAUAAUUGUUUAUUAUACAAGCUUAUUUUAAGAUGUUUGGUGUUACAAAAUAUGCACUUGCAUUAAAAACGGGUGAUUUUUGUGAAAUUAAUGAAAAAAAUGUGCUGAGACUUAUUUGACAGAUGGCUUUCAGUGUGAGAAAAUAUGUCCCUCAAUAACUAUGUUAACUUGAAUUUUUCACUUUAAGAAAACAGUUUAAUCACAGGAUGGGUGUGAUCUAAUGAAGUAUGCAGUGGCCCUAUGUUUCAAACAGUAAUGUUUGUGGAUACUCUGCAACAUAAG